rnacentral:rRNA from 1 species
UAAGGAAUAUUGCACAAUGGGGGAAACCCUGAUGCAGCAACGCCGCGUGAGUGAUGAAGGCCUUCGGGUUGUAAAACUCUUUUCUGAGGGAUGAGGAAGGACAGUACCUUAGGAAUAAGUCUCGGCUAACUACGUGCCAGCAGCCGCGGUAAAACGUAGGAGGCGAGCGUUAUCCGGAUUUACUGGGCGUAAAGGGCAAGUAGGCAGUGGUCAAAGUUGGGCGUGACAGAUCCUGGCUUAACUGGGAGAGGUCGUUCAAAACUAGAUCACUAGAGGGCAGGAGAGGGGAGCGGAAUUCCUAGUGUAGCGGUGGAAUGCUCAGAUAUUAGGAAGAACACCAGUGGCGAAAGCGGCUUUCUGGCCUGCACCUGACGCUAAGGGGCGAAAGCUAGGGGAGCGAACGG